CCUACGGGAGGCAGCAGGAGGGAAUAUUGCGCAAUGGGCGAAAGCCUGACGCAGCGACGCCGCGUGGGGGAAGAAGGCCUUCGGGUCGUAAACCCCUUUCAGCAGGGACGAAACUGACGGUACCUGCAGAAGAAGCGCCGGCCAACUACGUGCCAGCAGCCGCGGUAAUACGUAGGGCGCAAGCGUUGUCCGGAUUCAUUGGGCGUAAAGGGCGUGUAGGCGGUUUGGUAAGUCGGGUGUGAAAACUCAGGGCUCAACUCUGAGACGCCACUCGAUACUGCCAUGACUAGAGUCCGGUAGGGGAGUGUAGAAUUCCUGGUGUAGCGGUGAAAUGCGCAGAUAUCAGGAGGAAUACCGAUAGCGAAGGCAGCACUCUGGGCCGGUACUGACGCUGAGGAGCGAAAGCGUGGGGAGCAAACAGGAUUAGAUACCCUGGUAGUCCACGCCGUAAACGUUGGGCACUAGGUGUGGGUCCCAUCCAACGGGAUCCGUGCCGCAGCUAACGCAUUAAGUGCCCCGCCUGGGGAGUACGGCCGCAAGGUUAAAACUCAAAGGAAUUGACGG
rnacentral:rRNA from 1 species